rnacentral:rRNA from 1 species
GAUCCUGGCUCAGAACGAACGCUGAAGGAAGGAGCUUGCUCUUUCCGGAUGAGUUGCGAACGGGUGAGUAACGCGUAGGUAACCUGCCUGGUAGCGGGGGAUAACUAUUGGAAACGAUAGCUAAUACCGCAUAACAGUAGAUAUUGCAUGAUAUUUGCUUGAAAGGGGCAAUUGCUCCACUACCAGAUGGACCUGCGUUGUAUUAGCUAGUUGGUGAGGUAACGGGCUCACCAAGGCGACGAU